CGUUUGAAUACCUAUCACAUAUGCAACAUGCAUAAUCCAUUGCAUUUAUUAUUUCGAUGUAUUAUUUUUCAGAAACGUUAUUUCGCUUGUCUUAAUGCUGAAGAUUCACUACGACGAUUGUAAAAAUACAAAUGCAGUGUUCCUACUAAUGUACUAUAUAAAUGUCGUUUGAACGUUACACGAACGUGAAAAUAACUAUUCUGGAGAAACUAUAUUGUCCACGUAUAUUGUAGGAUAGUACAGGCGAAAAGAUCCUUUCAAGACAAAAGCCACAUAUUAACUACCAAUAGUGUCAGAUUGGAGUUAAGGAAAAAAUUCCUAAAAAAUUAUAUAUGGAGUGCAAGCAGGGGCGUAUAUAGACUUACUUUUAGGGGGUAAAUCAAAUUUUUUCUUUAAUUCAGGAUCCACUUAGG